GUUUUUCAGGAACUAAGACCUGUGGGAGUGCUGGAGAAAUCAAGUGUACAAGUCCUCUGUCUCCUCAGCCGUAAAUGCAUGUUAUUGUGCAAGGGGUAGUUGCAUGGACUAUCAGUGGAGGGUCAGAAAGCUCUGAGAUUUCAUUAUAAAGAUCUUAAUUUGUGUUCUGAAGAUGAACAAAAGACUUGUGGGUUUGGAACGACAUGAGGGAUACACACACGGCAGUGGUCACCCGUUUGACGGCAAAUAAAAGCUUUAACACCGCCAUCGUCUGUAUGCAGUUGCCGUGAUUUUGCCAAGUAAGACAUGUUCCUGGAUCAACAUCUUUUGUUGAUCCUGGAUCAACAUAACGGUCCAAACAUAUAGACUUAACCCUAUCUUAAACUAACCCUAACCAUAAUUUAUUCCUAAAAUCAGUGUGAAAUGAUUAACCAGAGUGUAGAAGCACCUAACCCUGAUCGUAAACCUAAACCAGAUAUUUCCUGAAAAGGUAUCCCUCAGUUCUGAUUGGUUGAUAGGAAUG
ensembl:lncRNA